rnacentral:rRNA from 1 species
AAGAUUAAGCCAUGCAUGUCUAAGUAUAAGCACUUUAUACUGUGAAACUGCGAAUGGCUCAUUAAAUCAGUUAUCGUUUAUUUGAUAGUACCUUACUACAUGGAUACCUGUGGUAAUUCUAGAGCUAAUACAUGCUAAAAACCCCGACUUCAGGAAGGGGUGUAUUUAUUAGAUAAAAAACCAACGCCCUUCGGGGCUCCUUGGUGAAUCAUAAUAACUUAACGAAUCGCAUGGCCUUGCGCCGGCGAUGGUUCAUUCAAAAUUUCUGCCCUAUCAACUUUCGAUGGUAGGGAUAGUGGC